UAACUUUUGCCGAUCGGAUCUGCGCCUUAUCUCCUUCUGUCCUCCUCCUGACCCGAAACCUAACCUAGCCGCCUCCUCCCACUCCAGAUCUCCAACCUCACCAUGGCCUUCUCCUCUUCCUUUGCCAACCAUGGAUGGCCGCCGGAUCCUUGAACCAUACCAUGGCCUUCAACUCCCUCCGCCCGAUCCUCAUCAUGACCUUAUGCUCUCUGGCCGCCGGAUACCCACCAUGACCUUGUGCUCUCUGGCCGCCGGAUCUUCAGCACGGCCGGCCUUCUCAUGUCUGCCGCCGGUCCUCGAUGAACCAGCCCCAGCGUGCCUCGCCCGCAGAUGCAGAUCUUGAUCUUCCAGCGGACAGGGGCGUAGGACGGCCAGCAACACCGUCCCGGACCCGUUGACAGCAUGAUGGCCGUGGCCCUCUUUUGGCUCGGUGGUUAGGUUAGGUUCGGUUCGGUUCGGUUCGAUCUGUAUAACAAAGGAUGUUCGAGUAUUAUUAUUAUCAGUAUUAACGGAAGAGAUGUUUUUAAUGGGUGGUUGAUGCAAGAAAGAUUCAUAGCCAUCUGCUGGCCCUAUUUUACAUUAUUAGGGCGUCUUUGAUUUUAUAGGUUAUUUUUUCCAGAGGAUUUGUAUCUUUAGGAAUUUUCCCUAAGUAAGCACUCAUUGGCACUCUAUUUCUAGAGAAAUAUGGCUAUGCUCUUGUUUCAAUUCCGUAACCUCUUUGAUUGAUGCAAUUUUUCUUUUCUAGUCAUACUAUCAUUCCGGUACUCUCAUUUUUAUCAUUAUUAACCAAGGUUCCUUUGCCACGUUUUGAUAAUCCUACAAACCACACUUGCCAUACACUACCUUUGGUUAUAGCACUAGAGUCAAACACGCGAGGAUAAGAUAAAUCAUAUCAACCAUGUAAUUUGUCAUCUUGGUGCAUUCGCAUCCCAACCCCUAUGCAAUAGGCUAAGUGGGACACAUGAACUUCUCUUCUCUAUUCACCUCGUUUAAUAAGUUUUUUUUUUGCUGCAACUCUUAGUACAACCUAUUAGGAGGUGCUAUAAAUAGAGAGAUAGAUUUUUCAAAAUACAUUUUAUUCAGGCCAUGUUAAGCCUUUUGAUUUUAGCACUUGUCCUCACAUUAUUUAGUGUCAUCGUCAGUCCUUCUUUCUAACCUUCUAUGUCUACCUAUGCAAAUGCUCUUUGCAUGCAGACGCCGAGGUCUAGAUUUUUUUUUCUAGCACCAGUGCUAACGGAUGUGAGGAUAUGCGCUAAGAUUUAAAAACUUAGCCACACCCCCACCACUAAAUUAGAAUCCACUGCUAUGCUAAAUCGACUCGCUGUAAGUAGUUUAUUAUGUUUGCCAAUUUUAGUUGAAUUGUUGUAAAGUCUAGCUCAUAUAGUUGGUCCUAAGGUGAAUAGCAAGAGAAAACUAAUAAUGAAUUUAUCUUAGCUUCUAAUUUGUUGGUUUUGAAGGAUGCAGAUGUUGCAAGUGCAAAAGAUGUGCUAGAGGACGCAGGAAUUAGCUUGUGUUUGUCAGUUGAAAGAUACUAGGUGCUUAAGCGUUUAUCUCCUCUUUGGUUCAUAGGUAAAAAACAAAGGAAACAUGUAGGGAGAAAAGGACGUCCUUUUAAAAAUUUUGGGGUCUGAGAUGGUUGUAUUUUUUUAAGCAUGGUAACAUUCUAUUUAGACCUUUUUUUGUCUUGUUUUAAUACAGUUCGACUAUUUAGUAUAUUAAUAUUCUUUUGUUCUUGUCGCUUUUUCCUUCUUAUUCAUGCACCAAACACGCAGGUUCUCAAAAUUUACGUGUUUUUCAAUCUGCUACCUUGCGACCGUGACUGCCGUAUUCUUUAGUUUCUGAGAAUCCUGCAAAUCAAUGGGCCCUUUUGCUUGUGAGAUGCAUGCAGCCAAGAGAUGUGAUUAAACAGCAACGACUAAUUUGAAUAGAGAUGAGAAUCUGGUGUGCCUAUUUGCAUUACCACUAAAUACACUAAGCAUUUUUUUUUAAACCUGGUGCAUGUAGCUCCCGCUUGCGCAGGGUCCAGGGAAGGGUCCGACCACUUUGGGUCUAUAGUACGCAGCCUUUCCCUACAUUUCUGUAAGAGGCUAUUUCCAGGACUUGAACCCAUGACCUCAUGGUCACAAGGCAGCAGCUUUACUACUGCGCCAAGGCUCCCCUUCAUGUGAAACAAUAUUUUUGGUUCGACGAAUACUGGUUACAUUUACUGAAGGCUGUGCUCACCAUCCAGUGCACCCUUGGUCUCACAGGAUGGAUCCUGUACCACCAGUCCAUGGGGUCAAUCAAUAUGGUUAUAUCUUAAAAUGUCUGUGAAGCAGGUGGUCAAUCAAUAUGUAAUGAGCAAAGGAACAGAACAAUACAGGAAGAAUGUUUGAUCUUAAUGGUCCUCUGUCACUUUCAACUCAGUGGAAAUAGGCCGUCUACUCCAGUUCGGUAAGAUGAAUCAUGUGUUUUAAAGAAGUUAUACAUGAGCGCAGCAAGCAGUGUUCUUGCUCAAAUAGAGAAGUCUCGGCAGAUCGGAUGCACUCUAUUUGAAGUAUUCUACUGAUGACUGCCCCAGUGCUUCAUCUGAAUCUGAAAAUAAAAACAAAGAGUGGCAUCAGCAGCAAAACAUAAUCAAGUAUUCAAGGAGAAUUGGCAUGUAAGGUGACUGGAGGCGAGGGAUGGCUCAGUGAAGCAGGUGGUCAAUCAAUAUGCAGUGAUGAAAGGAACAGAACGGUACAGGAAGAAUGGAUGAUCUUAAUGGCCCUCUGUCACUUUCAACUCGGUGCUUUUGGAAAUAGGCCUUCUACAGUUCGCUAAUAUGAAGCAUAGUGGUCUAAAGAAGUUAUACAUGAGCACAGCAAGCAGUGUGCUUGCUCAAAUAGAGAAGAUCGAUGAACUCUUUUUGAAGCAUUCUACUGACGGCCGCCCCAGCGCUUCAUCUGAAAAUAAAAUAAAAAGUGGCAUCAGCAGCAAAACAUCAUCAAGUAUUCAAGGAGAAUUGGCAUGUAAGGUGACUGGAGGCGAGGGAUGGCUCAGAAUCUAGCAUUUCUGCUGUGAGGCUGGAGGAGUUUACGGCUAAGACCAAGCUUUGUGAUGUCAUGGUUGUGCAAUAUAUAGGGACGGCGCCAUGGAAGGUCUCUGUUGUGCUCUGUUCCAUUCAUGGUCGUGGAUAAUCAGUAGCAUGACGGGUUCGGCACAGCAGAGGUUGGCCCUGCUGCCGAGCCAGCGUAAGCCACAAAUUCGCCAUGGUGAGCUACUCCAGAUCCCCUCCCUUUGCUCUGCGCUUCAUGGCCAUUGAGCCAUGGAUGGUCUUAGUUAACAUUUUGUGGCAGUUGAUUCUCGGUGGGGUGUGGUGGGGUUGCACCUGCACGUUAGUUGUUUAAUGCGUGGAAUCCAAAACUACAAGAUCUGAUGACGAAAAGAUACAUGCUCCUCGCACCAUAGCAGAUAGAUGAAUAUUAGCACACUGGUAUUGUCACAUUUAGUCAGGCUGAUUUAUCAAAAGUGGACGAUAUUGGAUUCUGUACCCCAUCUGUAAAGGAGUUAUGAUAUAUCAGUUUCUGUUCUAAUUUCUCAUGAAUACACAUCAAUUAUGAAUUGAUUUUAUUAGCAAAUGGAUGCUAGCCAGCAAUUUCAUUUCAUUUAUGAAGAUCAUAUUUUAAUGCCUACUAGCUACUCCCUCUGUCUCAUUAUGUAAGAUGUUUUUUGACGCUACACUAGUGUAAAAAACGUCUUAUAUUAUGGGACGGAGGGAGUACUAAUCAGGUGGGGCCACCACUUCCAGCCACACAAGUAGUUUUUUUCUGAGGUCGAAGAACUACAUCUUCAGCUCAAGCAAUAUGAGCAUUCAGCAAGAUGUAACUUUUACCAAUGCAACGAUUGCCUCAGUCAUCAAAAGGACCAUGAUGCAAAUAAUGUGCUUGCUCAAAUAGAAGAACUCACCAGGGCUUUGACCUUUGAGUCCUUAGACUUUAUCCCGGUGUUCCCUUUGAUGCUGGCCAGCUCAUCUCGUCUGAUUGAGCUUGUCUUUAAACCAAGACUAUGAUGGGAAAAAUUUGUUAGCAAUGCAGACCGGUGCUUUGCAGAUUGACCUUCAAGUGAGCCCACAGCAAUUUGGCCCGCUCCUUAGCUUCAUUGAAGUCGGCCUCAGCCCUGCAUGAGGCAUUUGAGACACACAGUGAGUCAUCAGGGCAGACUACAAGACAUAACUCAAACUGUGAACCAUAACUCGAACUGUUAACAAGAGGAGAAUUCGAGAGAAAACAGAGUGAUUCAUCAGCACAGACUACAAGACAUAACCCGAACUGUUGACAAGAGGCAUUAGAAUUCGAGAGAGAACAAAGUGAUCAAUCAGGACAGACUAUAAGACACAACUUGAACUGUUGACAAGAGUCAUUAGAAUUCGAGAGACAACAACAAGACAUAACUCGAACUGUCGACAAGAGGCAUUAGAAUUCGAGAGACAACAACAGGCGUUAGAAUUUGGGAG